GAACGCUGGCGGCGUGCCUAACACAUGCAAGUCGUGCGAGAAAGUUCCUUCGGGAGCGAGUAAAGCGGCGCACGGGUGAGUAACACGUAGGUAACCUGCCCCCCAGUCUGGAACAACUAGAGGAAACUCUAGCCAAUGCCGGAUGAGACCACGAUCCCUUCGGGGGUUGCGGCCAAAGAUGGCCUCUACUUGUAAGCUAUCGCUGAGGGAUGGGCCUGCGGGCCAUUAGCUUGUUGGUGAGGUAACGGCUCACCAAGGCUGUGAUGGCUAGCUGGUCUGAGAGGAUGACCAGCCACACUGGGACUGAGACACGGCCCAGACUCCUACGGGGGGCAGCAGUGGGGAAUAUUGCGCAAUGGGCGAAAGCCUGACGCAGCGACGCCGCGUGGGUGAUGAAGGCCUUCGGGUCGUAAAGCCCUGUCGCAGGGGAAGAAUAAGCAUCGGUAUAAUACGCCGGUGCCCUGACGGUACCCUGCAAGAAAGCACCGGCUAACUCCGUG
rnacentral:rRNA from 1 species